rnacentral:rRNA from 1 species
CCUACGGGCGGCUGCAGUGGGGAAUAUUGCACAAUGGGCGCAAGCCUGAUGCAGCCAUGCCGCGUGUGUGAAGAAGGCCUUCGGGUUGUAAAGCACUUUCAGCGGGGAGGAAGGCGGUGAGGUUAAUAACCUCAUCGAUUGACGUUACCCGCAGAAGAAGCACCGGCUAACUCCGUGCCAGCAGCCGCGGUAAUACGGAGGGUGCAAGCGUUAAUCGGAAUUACUGGGCGUAAAGCGCACGCAGGCGGUCUGUCAAGUCGGAUGUGAAAUCCCCGGGCUCAACCUGGGAACUGCAUUCGAAACAGGCAGGCUAGAGUCUUGUAGAGGGGGGUAGAAUUCCAGGUGUAGCGGUGAAAUGCGUAGAGAUCUGGAGGAAUACCGGUGGCGAAGGCGGCCCCCUGGACAAAGACUGACGCUCAGGUGCGAAAGCGUGGGGAGCAAACAGGAUUAGAUACCCGGGUAGUC